GACGAACGCUGGCGGCGUGCUUAACACAUGCAAGUCGAACGGAAAGGCCCUGCUUGCAGGGUGCUCGAGUGGCGAACGGGUGAGUAACACGUGGGUGAUCUGCCCCUUACUUUGGGAUAAGCCUGGGAAACUGGGUCUAAUACUGGAUAGGACCAUGCUGUAGGUGGUGUGGUGGAAAGAUUAGUUUCGGUAAGGGAUGAGCUCGCGGCCUAUCAGCUUGUUGGUGGGGUAAUGGCCUACCAAGGCGUCGACGGGUAGCCGGCCUGAGAGGGUGGACGGCCACAUUGGGACUGAGAUACGGCCCAGACUCCUACGGGAGGCAGCAGUGGGGAAUAUUGCACAAUGGGCGCAAGCCUGAUGCAGCGACGCCGCGUGGGGGAUGACGGCCUUCGGGUUGUAAACUCCUUUCAGCCAUAACGAAGCCCUUGUGGUGACGGUAGUGGUAGAAGAAGCACCGGCUAACUACGUG
rnacentral:rRNA from 1 species